UCACCGUGUAUAAAUACUCCACCCUCGCGGCCACAACCCCUGCACUGCACUGCAACUACCAGCCUAGCUAGGCAUAGCCAGAAGCCACUCAGCAACUCCCCUCCCUCGCGCUCUCUUGGUGCAGGCGCGAUGGCCGCACCUUUUCUGCUCCUUCUGCUCGUCGUUUCUGGAGGCGCUGCAGCGGGCGGCGACGGCGAGGCAGGGCUGACCCGGCUCGAGCUCCGAGGCAUCGACGACACGGGCCGUAGGCACGGGCCCUUCGCGCUGGAGGAGCCGGAGUUCAUGCCCGUUAUCUCCACGCACGACGACGAGGCGGUCGAAGCUCCCCGGCUUGAGUUCCGAGGCAUCGACGACUCGGGCCGUGGGCACGCGUCCGACGCGCCGGAGGAGCCGGUGUUCAUGGCCCAUCUCGACGACGAGGCGGGCGAAGCGCCCCGGCUCGAGUUCCGGGGUAUCGACGGCUCGGGCCAUGGGCACGCGUCCGACGCGCCGGAGGAGCGGGCGUUCACGGACGUCAUCUCCACGGGCGGCGCCUGCGGCCGCUUCGCCCGCCUCGUCGCCGAGACGGGGAACGCGGGCCAGCUCUUCUGGGAGCGCGCCGCGGGCGCCGGCGGUCUCACGGUGUUCUGCCCCGAAGACAAGGCCCUUGCCGAGUUCGAGCCCAAGUUCAGAAGCCUCGGCGCCGACGACCGGCUCGCCGUCCUGCUGUACCACGGCGCGGCGGUGUGCUACCGGAGGGAGCAGUUCCGGGCGUUCGACUGGGUGUCAGUGAGCUCGCUGGCCACCGACGCGGCCACAAACAAGAGCC
rnacentral:lncRNA from 1 species